rnacentral:misc_RNA from 1 species
GAUGAAGAACGUAGCGAAAUGCGAUAAGUAGUGUGAAUUGCAGAAUUCCGUGAAUCAUCGAAUCUUUGAACGCACAUUGCGCCUUCUGGUAUUCCGGAAGGCAUGCCUGUUCGAGAGUCAUUAACUACCGUUUCGAUCCCUUUCUUUCAGAAAUUACAAAGAGGAAAAGGGUUUGGUUAUGGUGGAGGAGGGAAAGGGAGCGUUUAGCCUGUAAAAAAAGAGGCUGUGUUCCGCCUCCCCCCCAAAAUUGUACAGGCGGUCGUGUGCGCCCACGCAUCGAGGUGUUGUAAAAGCUGCCACGGCACUUUUCACCUGUGCAGUGCGAGAUUGGCCAGCCGGUUUAAAAACCCCUCCAAACAAUCAAAGGUUGACCUCGGAUCAGGUAGGGAUACCCGCUGAACUUAAGCAUAUCAAUAAGCGGAGGA